CUCACCUUGACUAUAUGGUUAGAAAGAAGGGUUGGUGUGUACAAGCAACUGAGGACAUUCAGCAGGAAGAAAAAACCCUUUUGACUGCCUUCAUCUGAUUUUCUCAACUCACACCCCCUUGGCUAUGGCAGGUACUCAGAGCAGCUGGAUACAGGCUCCCACAGCCAGACACCUGCAUCACCAGGCUCAGCGGGGCCUGCCACCCUCCUCACUGCUGACACCCAGGAUGAUGUUCUCCAGCCCUGUCUGCACCCUUAGCUGUGACCGGCCCCGAACCACGGCCUGCCAAAGCAGGAGACCCUCACAGUCCUGCCCCUAACAGGGAGAAUCUUCCUUGUUUUCCUGCCUGAAGGACAAGAAGGUUUUCAGGUUGCAUCAGCACCAGCUGGCUGACAGCCAGUUCCAAAACGCUCAGGCCGCCUCAUUCUCCAUGAGACGCUACAGCACUUCUCCUUCGUCUUCAGCACAAACAGCUGAAAUUCCUCACUGGGCUUGAUCAACAGUGGGAAGAUCUGGAGACUCGUUUGGUGCAGGAGAUGGGGAGGAAAAGACCGUCCUGGUCAAUGAGGACUCCAGCCUGACUUUGAAGAACUCCUUCCAAAGGACCAGGCUCGAUCUGAAAAGAAAGUCCAUAGCUGCUGUGCCCAGGACAAUAUGAGAGUGGAAGUUAAGGCGUGAAAAUCAGAGUGUGCUU